AUUGAACGCUGGCGGCAGGCCUAACACAUGCAAGUCGAACGGUAACAGGAAGCAGCUUGCUGCUUCGCUGACGAGUGGCGGACGGGUGAGUAAUGUCUGGGAAGCUGCCUGAUGAGGGGGAUAACUACUGGAAACGGUAGCUAAUACCGCAUAAUGUCGCAAGACCAAAGAGGGGGACCUUCGGGCCUCUUGCCAUCGGAUGUGCCCAGAUGGGAUUAGCUUGUUGGUGGGGUAACGGCUCACCAAGGCGACGAUCCCUAGCUGGUCUGAGAGGAUGACCAGCCACACUGGAACUGAGACACGGUCCAGACUCCUACGGGAGGCAGCAGUGGGGAAUAUUGCACAAUGGGCGCAAGCCUGAUGCAGCCAUGCCGCGUGUAUGAAGAAGGCCUUCGGGUUGUAAAGUACUUUCAGCGGGGAGGAAGGGAGUAAAGUUAAUACCUUUGCUCAUUGACGUUACCCGCAGAAGAAGCACCGGCUAACCCCGUG
rnacentral:rRNA from 1 species